AAACAGGACCGGAGAACCUCAGCCCGUCCCUAACAUCCCUGCUGCGAGGCCCGCAGGCUGUGGAAUCUCGCACGUCACCUGGCCCCCGCAGGGCGGCCAGCUGAGGGGUUUAUUUUAUUUUAUUUUAUUUUUUUGAAGUAAAGGCUGAAUCUCGGCUGCAGGGCUUUUGCCAACGUCUCUACUGACAGGAACCAGCAAACUUCAGGACCCAAAUGAGCAUCUUAAUUUAUUGAUGCAAAACAGAUGCAAGUUGUGCUCACAUCAUAUAAACUAAAAUGUGAAAGCGUCCGAAAGCUCAACCAGUUCCUGAGGCAAGAAAUGUGAAAUGGCGAUGACUGAAAGGCACACAUAGGGUGACCAACUUGGCCUCUGCUUGCCUUGGACUUUACUGGCUUUAGCCCUGGAAGUGCCAUGUC